rnacentral:rRNA from 1 species
GUAGUCCACGCCCUAAACGAUGGAUACUAGUCGUCGGAGUUCCUAAUCGCUCCGGUGACGAAGCUAACGCAUUAAGUAUCCCGCCUGGGAAGUACGGUCGCAAGAUUAAAACUCAAAGGAAUUGACGGGGGCCCGCACAAGCGGUGGAGCAUGUGGUUUAAUUCGAUGCUACGCGAAGAACCUUACCCAGGCUUGACAUCCCGCGCAUAGCCGUGAAAGCGGUGAAAUCUCUUCGGAGACGCGGUGACAGGUGCUGCAUGGCUGUCGUCAGCUCGUGUUGUGAGAUGUUGGGUUAAGUCCCGCAACGAGCGCAACCCUCGUCGCUAGUUACCAUCAUUAAGUUGGGCACUCUAGCGAGACCGCUGAGCUAUAAGCCAGA